CUCGAGGACGACGCUGGCGGCGUGCUUAACACAUGCAAGUCGAACGGUAAGGCCCUUCGGGGGUACACGAGUGGCGAACGGGUGAGUAACACGUGGGUGAUCUGCCCUGCACUUCGGGAUAAGCCUGGGAAACUGGGUCUAAUACCGGAUAGGACUCCUGGCUUCAUGGUUGGGGGUGUAAAGCUUUUGCGGUGUGGGAUGGGCCCGCGGCCUAUCAGCUUGUUGGUGGGGUAAUGGCCUACCAAGGCGACGACGGGUAGCCGGCCUGAGAGGGUGACCGGCCACACUGGGACUGAGAUACGGCCCAGACUCCUACGGGAGGCAGCAGUGGGGAAUAUUGCACAAUGGGCGCAAGCCUGAUGCAGCGACGCCGCGUGAGGGAUGACGGCCUUCGGGUUGUAAACCUCUUUCAAUAGGGACGAAGCGCAAGUGACGGUACCUAUAGAAGAAGGACCGGCCAACUACGUG
rnacentral:rRNA from 1 species